rnacentral:rRNA from 1 species
GGCGGACGGGUGAGUAACACGUGGGUAACCUGCCUAAAAGAAGGGGAUAACACUUGGAAACAGGUGCUAAUACCGUAUAUCUCUAAGGAUCGCAUGAUCCUUAGAUGAAAGAUGGUUCUGCUAUCGCUUUUAGAUGGACCCGCGGCGUAUUAACUAGUUGGUGGGGUAACGGCCUACCAAGGUGAUGAUACGUAGCCGAACUGAGAGGUUGAUCGGCCACAUUGGGACUGAGACACGGCCCAAACUCCUACGGGAGGCAGCAGUAGGGAAUCUUCCACAAUGGACGCAAGUCUGAUGGAGCAACGCCGCGUGAGUGAAGAAGGUCUUCGGAUCGUAAAACUCUGUUGUUAG